rnacentral:rRNA from 1 species
GCCCCGGUAAACGGCGGCCGUAACUAUAACGGUCCUAAGGUAGCGAAAUUCCUUGUCGGGUAAGUUCCGACCUGCACGAAUGGCGUAAUGAUGGCCAGGCUGUCUCCACCCGAGACUCAGUGAAAUUGAACUCGCUGUGAAGAUGCAGUGUACCCGCGGCAAGACGGAAAGACCCCGUGAACCUUUACUAUAGCUUGACACUGAACAUUGAGCCUUGAUGUGUAGGAUAGGUGGGAGGCUUUGAAGUGUGGACGCCAGUCUGCAUGGAGCCGACCUUGAAAUACCACCCUUUAAUGUUUGAUGUUCUAACGUUGGCCCCUGAUCGGGGUUGCGGACAGUGUCUGGUGGGUAGUUUGACUGGGGCGGUCUCCUCCUAAAGAGUAACGGAGGAGCACGAAGGUUGGCUAAUCCUGGUCGGACAUCAGGAGGUUAGUGCAAUGGCAUAAGCCAGCUUGACUGCGAGCGUGACGGCGCGAGCAGGUGCGAAAGCAGGUCAUAGUGAUCCGGUGGUUCUGAAUGGAAGGGCCAUCGCUCAACGGAUAAAAGGUACUCCGGGGAUAACAGGCUGAUACCGCCCAAGAGUUCAUAUCGACGGCGGUGUUUGGCACCUCGAUGUCGGCUCAUCACAUCCUGGGGCUGAAGUAGGUCCCAAGGGUAUGGCUGUUCGCCAUUUAAAGUGGUACGCGAGCUGGGUUUAGAACGUCGUGAGACAGUUCGGUCCCUAUCUGCCGUGGGCGCUGGAGAACUGAGGGGGGCUGCUCCUAGUACGAGAGGACCGGAGUGGACGCAUCACUGGUGUUCGGGUUGUCAUGCCAAUGGCACUGCCCGGUAGCUAAAUGCGGAAGAGAUAAGUGCUGAAAGCAUCUAAGCACGAAACUUGCCCCGAGAUGAGUUCUCCCUGACUCCUUGAGAGUCCUGAAGGAACGUUGAAGACGACGACGUUGAUAGGCCGGGUGUGUAAGCGCAGCGAUGCGUUGAGCUAACCGGUACUAAUGAACCGUGAGG